UGAUGAGACUCUUUUUCGCUGCCACUGAGCGCUCCACACGUGGGGCGUCGCGUGAUGCACACAUUCACUACACUGUAGAACUGUCGUUUCUCUGA